UACAGAGGGUGCAAGCGUUGUUCGGAAUUAUUGGGCGUAAAGGGUGCGUAGGCGGUUUGACAAGUCUUAUGUGAAAUCUAUGGGCUCAACCCAUAGUCUGCAUGGGAAACUGUCGGGCUUGAGUAUGGGAGAGGUGAGUGGAAUUUCCGGUGUAGCGGUGAAAUGCGCAGAUAUCAGGAGGAACACCGGUGGCGAAGGCGGGUCUCUGGGCAACAACUGACGCUGAGGAGCGAAAGCGUGGGGAGCGAACAGG
rnacentral:rRNA from 1 species